GACGAACGCUGGCGGCGUGCUUAACACAUGCAAGUCGAACGGAAAGGCCCUGCUUUUGUGGGGUGCUCGAGUGGCGAACGGGUGAGUAACACGUGAGUAACCUUCCCUUGACUUUGGGAUAACUUCAGGAAACUGUGGCUAAUACCGGAUAGGAGCUCCUGCUGCAUGGUGUGGGUUGGAAAGUUUCGGCGGUUGGGGAUGGACUCGCGGCUUAUCAGCUUGUUGGUGUGGUAGUGGCUUACCAAGGCUUUGACGGGUAGCCGGCAUGAGAGGGUGACCGGCAAAAUUGGGACUGAGAGAGGGCCCAGAAUCCAACGGGAGGAAGCAGUGGGGAAUAUUGCAAAAUGGGCGGAAGCAUGAUGAAGAAACGCGGCGUGCGGGAUGACGGCCUUCGGGUUGUAAACAGAUUUCGAAUGUGACGAAGCGUGAGUGACGGUAAUGGGUAAAGAAGCACCGGCUAACUACGUG
rnacentral:rRNA from 1 species